CCCUCCAUACAAAAUCGGUUCUACUACACAAAAAAAAAUAGAUACGCAAAUGAUUCUUCCAUCCUAUCAAAAAGUGGACACAGGUUUCCAUUCAAAACAUGUGACAUUCCUCUAUUACAAGUUCACUUAUAGUGGGUAAACAAUUCAAAAUCCAACCAAACAACUUCACUUUUCUCAUAACAUUUACUUUCCAAACCCAACUCAGCUCUUUUAAACUCUCCUUAUUCAAUACCAAAUUUUGGGACUUCAAAUCAUA
rnacentral:lncRNA from 1 species